rnacentral:rRNA from 1 species
AUUGAACGCUGGCGGCAUGCUUUACACAUGCAAGUCGAACGGCAGCGCGGGCUUCGGCCUGGCGGCGAGUGGCGAACGGGUGAGUAAUGCAUCGGAACGUGCCCAGUAGUGGGGGAUAGCCCGGCGAAAGCCGGAUUAAUACCGCAUACGACCUGAGGGUGAAAGCGGGGGACCGAAAGGCCUCGCGCUUUUUGAGCGGCCGAUGUCGGAUUAGCUAGUUGGUGGGGUAAAGGCUUACCAAGGCGACGAUCCGUAGCUGGUCUGAGAGGACGACCAGCCACACUGGGACUGAGACACGGCCCAGACUCCUACGGGAGGCAGCAGUGGGGAAUUUUGGACAAUGGGGGCAACCCUGAUCCAGCCAUGCCGCGUGCGGGAAGAAGGCCUUCGGGUUGUAAACCGCUUUUGUUCGGGAAGAAAUCCUCUGGGCUAAUACCCCGGGGGGAUGACGGUACCGGAAGAAUAAGCACCGGCUAACUACGUG